rnacentral:rRNA from 1 species
UACGUAGGUGGCAAGCGUUAUCCGGAAUUAUUGGGCGUAAAGGGUGCGUAGGUGGUGAGGUAAGUCGGAUGUGAAAUCUCCGAGCUCAACUCGGAAAUGGCAUUGGAAACUACCUUGCUCGAGGGUUGGAGGGGGGACUGGAAUGCUUGGUGUAGCAGUGAAAUGCGUAGAUAUCAAGCGGAACACCAGUGGCGAAGGCGAGUCCCUGGACAACUCCUGACACUGAGGCACGAAAGCUAGGGGAGCAAACAGG